AUUGAACGCUGGCGGCAGGCCUAACACAUGCAAGUCGAGCGGAUGAAGGGAGCUUGCUCCUGGAUUCAGCGGCGGACGGGUGAGUAAUGCCUAGGAAUCUGCCUGGUAGUGGGGGAUAACGUCCGGAAACGGGCGCUAAUACCGCAUACGUCCUGUGGGGGAAAGUGGGGGAUCUUCGGACCUCACGCUAUCAGAUGAGCCUAGGUCGGAUUAGCUAGUUGGUGGGGUAAAGGCCUACCAAGGCGACGAUCCGUAACUGGUCUGAGAGGAUGAUCAGUCACACUGGAACUGAGACGCGGUCCAGACUCCUACGGGAGGCAGCGGUGGGGAAUAUUGGACGAUGGGCGAAAGCCUGAUCCAGCCGUGCCGCGUGUGUGAAGAAGGUCUUCGGAUUGUAAAGCACUUUAAGUUGGGAGGAAGGGCAGUAAGUUAAUACCUUGCUGUUUUGACGGUACCAACAGAAUAAGCACCGGCUAACUUCGUG
rnacentral:rRNA from 1 species